rnacentral:rRNA from 1 species
GACGAACCGAGCGAACGUUGUUCGGAAUAACUGGGCUUAAAGGGCGCGUAGGCGGCAUGCCAAGCGUGUGGUGAAAGCCCGGGGCUCAACCCCGGGUCGGCCGUGCGGACUGGCGUGCUCGAGCACUGUAGGGGCGGGUGGAAUUCCGGGUGUAGCGGUGGAAUGCGUAGAGAUCCGGAAGAACACCGGUGGCGAAGGCGGCCCGCUGGGCAGGAAGGCUCGCAAGAGCCGGCUGACGCUGAGGCGCGACAGCGUGGGGAGCAAACAGG